rnacentral:tRNA from 1 species
GGUCCCUUCGUCUAUCGGCUAGGACGUGGCCCUCUCAAGGCCAAAAGACGGGUUCGAUUCCCGUAGGGACCG